rnacentral:rRNA from 1 species
UACGAAGGGGGCGAGCGUUGUUCGGAUUUACUGGGCGUAAAGGGCGCGUAGGCGGCCAUCGCAGUCGCGUGUGAAAGCCCCGGGCUCAACCUGGGAAUGGCGCGCGAUACUGGGUGGCUGGAGUUCGGGAGAGGAGCGUGGAAUUCCCAGUGUAGAGGUGAAAUUCGUAGAUAUUGGGAAGAACACCGGUGGCGAAGGCGGCGCUCUGGACCGAGACUGACGCUGAGACGCGAAAGCGUGGGGAGCGAACAGG